rnacentral:rRNA from 1 species
GUAGGUGACAAGCGUUGUCCGGAAUUAUUGGGCGUAAAGCGCGCGCAGGCGGUUCUUUAAGUCUGAUGUGAAAGCCCACGGCUCAACCGUGGAGGGUCAUUGGAAACUGGAGAACUUGAGUACAGAAGAGGAAAGCGGAAUUCCACGUGUAGCGGUGAAAUGCGUAGAGAUGUGGAGGAACACCAGUGGCGAAGGCGGCUUUCUGGUCUGUAACUGACGCUGAGGCGCGAAAGCGUGGGGAGCAAACAGGAUUAGAUACCCUGGUAGUCCACGCCGUAAACGAUGAGUGCUAAGUGUUAGGGGGGUUUCCGCCCCCCUUAGUGCUGCAGCUAACGCAUUAAGCACUCCGCCUGGGAGUACGGCCGCAAGGCUG